CCCAACCCUUUACCUCUGUCGAUACAGUCAUCGCUUCGGCGAUUUUCUCGGUGCCGCUAUCGUCGCCUCGCCGGCCACCGCCGGUCUGGAAACUUGCGGUUUCCAGCCGCCUCUCCUAAGUUUGAGAAGUCUAUUGAUUUCCAGCCCCUGUUACCGUCGGGUUCUUCCCUCCGCCUUCAAUUUCGAUUGCAACUUUCCCUUUCGCCUCCUUCUCUUCCUCCCACCAGUCCGGGUAUCCGACCAAUUGAAAGCAUGAGUCCCUAGUGUGUUUGUUCAUUCCACAGUGGGAGCACCAAGCUUUGAUUUAUCGGGAGGUUUGUUUCCCCGGCGAUUGGAGGCCGCGAAUCGCGACGGUGACUGCUGCUGCUGGUUCUUGUUCGGCGGUUGAGAUUGACGGUAUUCUCGGGCUCCGACUCCCGAUGGAGAGUCGACUCCAGUGGCUGUGGGUGGUGAUCCGGAUGCCAGUGACAUGAUCUUGAGUCGAGCUGCCUCCCGUUUCACACACCCAUAUGCCCAGCUCCCGUUUCACCCACACAUAUGCAUCGGCGGCUAAGGGAUAUGGUCUCAAUUUGAGAAUAUCACGUCGGAUUCCCUCGUAACGUUCAUUUAGUCCAGUGAGGAAUUUGAACAAUCGUUUCUUUGAACUGUGCUAUCCUCGCUCCAAUCGAUAUCUAUCCAAAGUCCGUGAAGACGACUCUAGUAUGCUUCCAGGCUUAAGUCUUCUUGAGUAAUCUUUCCUGCCUUUUCGUCAAGGUCGUAGACGACGUACACAUCUGUCGUACUUUCGAAAGUGACGGCAAGGCUCUCCCACAGUGAUUUUGUCGUCUGAUGAUGUGCGAAGUCAGCAAUGAUGUUCGUCUCCAUGUUGUCCACGAUCCACGAGAAGACUAUUAGAUCUAUCUCCUCUCACUCGGAGUAACCCGCUUCCCCUGUUUUCAGCGGAGUUGGGAUACCCGUGAUAUGUCGGUAUGCUUCUCUGCCCCCAAUAGACACCUUCAUCAGGCGUGCCCAUAGCGGGUAAUUUGAGCCGUUCAGUUUGAAGGCUACGGUAACACUCUUACUUGAUUGAAUCUUGUCGACCAUUGGUUCUGGUUCUGUGUCUUGUUUAUUACCUGUCAUCUUGGUUGGAUUGAUUUGGUUGGAAGUUCUCGCCUUUAAGGUCGAGAAGGGUAUAUUUGGCUAUGAUGAAUUCUCUCUGAGCCUAACCUGCUCGGAUGCCAUGGAGAAAUCAAGAAUUGGGAUAAUAUCUGAUAUAUCAUUCACACUUGCAUUGUUCAUGUUUAUAUAGGCUUAGGAAAAGACUAUACAAGAUAAAACACAAAUGAGGAUAUUCGGUAUUUUCUUCCAACAGAAGCAACUAUGCUCAAACUUGAAUUUCGUAAGCCUCAUUGACACCUUUAGCCCUUGAUGGGAGGUUGCAUUGUAGAAUAGGGUUUGGGGAGAAACGGAAUAGAUGGAUUAGAGUAUCACCAACCAUUUAUACUAAAUUUAAACCCAUUUUAGUGUAAAUAUCAUAUCAAAUAAUAAUUUUAAUUCAAUCAUUUACAUUAAACUCAAACUUAAACA